CGAGUUUGAUCAUGGCUCAGGAUGAACGCUAGCGGCAGGCCUAAUACAUGCAAGUCGAACGGAUAUAUGUUUUUCGGAAUAUAUAUUAGUGGCGCACGGGUGAGUAACACGUACAUAACUUGCCCUCAAGCGGGGGAUAGCCUUGGGAAACUGAGAGUAAUACCCCAUAGAAUUAUUGGACGGCAUCGUUUGAUAAUUAAAACUACGGUGCUUGGGGAUAGAUGUGCGUCUGAUUAGCUAGUUGGUGAGGUAACUGCUCACCAAGGCGACGAUCAGUAGGGGGCGUGAGAGCGUGGCCCCCCACACGGGUACUGAGACACGGACCCGACUCCUACGGGAGGCAGCAGUAAGGAAUAUUGGUCAAUGGAGGGAACUCUGAACCAGCCAUGCCGCGUGAAGGAUGACGGCCCUCUGGGUUGUAAACUUCUUUUGGAUGGGGCGAAAAAACGGGAUUUAUCCUGGACUGACGGUACCAUCAGAAUAAGCACCGGCUAACUCCGUG
rnacentral:rRNA from 1 species